UUGUUUUUUUAUAGUUUCAUUUAUUUAACCUGUACACUACAGUCAAUAGAGUUUAUUUAUUUAAGAUUUGUAAUAGUUUUUUAAAACAUUGUUUAAAAUAGAAUUAACAUUGUAGUCACGUGGUAAAUGGAAAUAAAAGUGCACUACUUACGUCAUUUCCUGCUGUGAUGUCAUUAUGCUCACGAGCAAAGGCCAGAGAGUGAUGGCGCCAUCGUCCUGGAACAGACUGCGACGUCCGGCGAUGUUUACGGCUUCCAGUCUU